rfam:Clostridium sp. CAG:710 genomic scaffold, scf41
CGGGAAAUGGCUCAACUUGGUAGAGCACUUGGUUUGGGACCAAGGGGUUGCAGGUUCAAAUCCUGUUUUCCCGA